rnacentral:rRNA from 1 species
CCUACGGGAGGCAGCAGUGAGGAAUAUUGGUCAAUGGCCGCAAGGCUGAACCAGCCAAGUCGCGUGAGGGAUGACGGUCCUAUGGAUUGUAAACCUCUUUUGUCAGGGAGCAAAGGGCGCCACGUGUGGCGCUUUGCGAGUACCUGAAGAAAAAGCAUCGGCUAACUCCGUGCCAGCAGCCGCGGUAAUACGGAGGAUGCGAGCGUUAUCCGGAUUUAUUGGGUUUAAAGGGUGCGCAGGCGGAAUGUCAAGUCAGCGGUAAAAUUUCGGGGCUCAACCCCGUCGUGCCGUUGAAACUGGCGUUCUUGAGUGAGCGAGAGGUAGGCGGAAUGCGUGGUGUAGCGGUGAAAUGCAUAGAUAUCACGCAGAACUCCGAUUGCGAAGGCAGCAUACCGGCGCUCAACUGACGCUCAUGCACGAAAGCGUGGGUAUCGAACAGGAUUAGAUACCCGGGUAGUC